rnacentral:rRNA from 1 species
AUUGAACGCUGGCGGCAGGCUUAACACAUGCAAGUCGAGCGAGAGGCGGACGGGUGAGUAAUGUCUGGGAAACUGCCUGAGGGAGGGGGAUAACUACUGGAAACGGUAGCUAAUACCGCAUACCAUCAGAUGUGCCCAGAUGGGAUUAGCGAGGAGGUGGGGUAACGGCUAACCAAGGCGACGAUCCCUAGCUGGUCUGAGAGGAUGACCAGCCACACUGGAACUGAGACACGGUCCAGACUCCUACGGGAGGCAGCAGUGGGGAAUAUUGCACAAUGGGCGCAAGCCUGAUGCAGCCAUGCCGCGUGUGUGAAGAAGGCCUUCGGGUUGUAAAGCACUUUCAGCGGGGAGGCGUUACUCGCAGAAGAAGCACCGGCUAACUCCGUGCCAGCCGCCGCGGUAAUUC